rnacentral:rRNA from 1 species
GAGUUUGAUCAUGGCUCAGAACGAACGCUGGCGGCGCGUCUUAAGCAUGCAAGUCGAACGGUAAGGGAGAGCUUGCUCUCCCCUAGAGUGGCGGACUGGUGAGUAACGCGUAGGUGACCUACCCUGAAGAUGGGGAUAGCUAGUAGAAAUAUUAGAUAAUACCGAAUAAGCUCAUUUGCAUAAAGGCAGAUGAGGAAAGGAGCUACGGCUCCGCUUUAGGAUGGGCCUGCGUCCCAUUAGCUAAGUUGGUGAGGUAAAGGCUUACCAAGGCAACGAUGGGUAUCCGGCCUGAGAGGGUGAACGGACACAUUGGGACUGAGAUACGGCCCAAACUCCUACGGGAGGCAGCAGCUAAGAAUCUUCCGCAAUGGACGAAAGUCUGACGGAGCGACGCCGUGUGAAUGAAGAAGGCUGAAAAGUUGUAAAAUUCUUUUGCAGAUGAAGAAUAAGGAUAGGAGGGAAUGCCUAUCUGAUGACG